rnacentral:rRNA from 2 species
AACUUUCAGCAACGGAUCUCUUGGCUCUCGCAUCGAUGAAGAACGCAGCGAAAUGCGAUAAGUAAUGUGAAUUGCAGAAUUCAGUGAAUCAUCGAAUCUUUGAACGCACCUUGCGCCCUUUGGCUAUUCUGAAGGGCAUGCCUGUUUGAGUAUC